rnacentral:rRNA from 1 species
UACGUAGGGUGCGAGCGUUGUCCGGAUUUAUUGGGCGUAAAGGGCUCGUAGGCGGCGUGUCGCGUCGGGAGUGAAAGACCGGGGCUUAACCCCGGUUCUGCUUCCGGUACGGGCAUGCUGGAGUGUGGCAGGGGAGACGUGGAAGUUCCUGGUGUAGCGGUGGAAUGCGCAGAUAUCAGGAGGAACACCGGUGGCGAAGGCGGGUCUCUGGGCCAUUACUGACGCUGGAGGAGCGAGAGCGUGGGGAGCGAACAGG